rnacentral:rRNA from 1 species
UCUAGAGAUUAGAGUUUGAUCAUGGCUCAGAUUGAACGCUGGCGGCAGGCUUAACACAUGCAAGUCGAGCGGGGGAGAUUGCUUCGGUAAUUGACCUAGCGGCGGACGGGUGAGUAAUACUUAGGAAUCUGCCUAUUAAUGGGGGACAACAUCUCGAAAGGGAUGCUAAUACCGCAUACGCCCUACGGGGGAAAGCAGGGGAUCACUUGUGACCUUGCGUUAAUAGAUGAGCCUAAGUCGGAUUAGCUAGUUGGUGGGGUAAAGGCCUACCAAGGCGACGAUCUGUAGCGGGUCUGAGAGGAUGAUCCGCCACACUGGGACUGAGACACGGCCCAGACUCCUACGGGAGGCAGCAGUGGGGAAUAUUGGACAAUGGGGGGAACCCUGAUCCAGCCAUGCCGCGUGUGUGAAGAAGGCCUUAUGGUUGUAAAGCACUUUAAGCGAGGAGGAGGCUCUCUUGGUUAAUACCCAAGAUGAGUGGACGUUACUCGCAGAAUAAGCACCGGCUAACUCUGUGCCAGCAGCCGCGGUAAUACGGAGGGGGCUAGCGUUGUUCGGAAUUACUGGGCGUAAAGCGCACGUAGGCGGCUAUCCAAGUUGGGGGUGAAAUCCCUGGGCUUAACCCAGGAACUGCCUUCAAAACUGGAUGGCUAGAGUCCGAGAGAGGUGAGUGGAAUUUCCAGUGUAGAGGUGAAAUUCGUAGAUAUUGGAAAGAACACCAGUGGCGAAGGCGGCUCACUGGCUCGGUACUGACGCUGAGGUGCGACAGCGUGGGGAGCAAACAGGAUUAGAUACCCUGGUAGUCCACGCCGUAAACGAUGGGUGCUAGUUGUCAGGCAGCUUUGCUGUUUUGGUGACGCAGCUAACGCAUUAAGCACCCCGCCUGGGGAGUACGGUCACAAGAUUAAAACUCAAGGAAUUGACGGGGGCCCGCACAAGCGGUGGAGCAUGUUGUUUAAUUUCGAAGCAACGCGCAGAAUCCUUACCCACUCCUUGACAUCUGGGAUCGCGUUACCCGGAGAACGUUUUCCUUCAGUUCGCCUGGAUCCAAGAACAGUGAUUGCAUGUCUGUCGUCAGCUUCGGUGUCUGGAAAUGUGGUUUAAGUCCCGCAACUGAGCGCAUCCAUUUUCUUAUUUGCCAGCACUUCGGUGUGUAACCUUUAAGGUACACUGU